GGGUCAGUGGCGUAGUUGGUUAUCAGAUCUGUCUAACACACUGAACGUCCUCAGUUCAAACCGGCCGACUCA